rnacentral:rRNA from 1 species
UGGGGAAUUUUGCACAAUGGGGGAAACCCUGAUGCAGCGACGCCGCGUGAUUUAGAAGGCCUUCGGGUUGUAAAAAUCUUUUCUAUGGGAAGAAAAUGACAGUACCAUAGGAAUAAGGACCGGCUAAUUACGUGCCAGCAGCCGCGGUAAUACGUAAGGUCCGAGCGUUGUCCGGAAUCAUUGGGCGUAAAGGGUACGUAGGCGGGUAAGCAAGUUAGAAGUGAAAUCCUAUAGCUCAACUAUAGUAAGCUUUUAAAACUGCUCAUCUUGAGGUAUGGAAGGGAAAGUGGAAUUCCUAGUGUUGCGGUGAAAUGCGCAGAUAUUAGGAGGAAUACCGGUGGCGAAGGCGACUUUCUGGCCAUAACCUGACGCUGAGGUACGAAAGCGUGGGUAGCAAACAGG